CAGCUAAUGCACAACCCACCCUCCGACACAACUGUUUUUCUGCGGCGCCUUCCGGGAGGCAGUCUUAUUAUGUCCUCCCUUCAUCUCCUAUUCGUCCCGUCUGACGGGGAGGAUCCUAUGAAGGGGCAGGAAUUACGGCCUGUCCCGCUUAGGCGAUUUUUAGCGACUGCCGGUGACUGUCAUAAUCGUAGCAGGUCGAGACUGGACCUCCCUUACGACAAUGUCUAUGACAAGCUACACCAACAUUCCACCUAGUUGACGUCAAGCUGCGGCAAGCUACCAACAACCGGCGACCAUAACCUUCGGAACUAGGAUGUUCACCUAUGACCACACCUACGACAACCUUCAACGACAUCUAUGACAACAUACGACAACACAGACAACAACGUACGGCAACUGGUCAACCUACGUCCUCCCGCAACAAGCUACAACAAGCUAAAGUCCUAUCAGCGACAACUGAAGCCUCUAAAACAAUGGAAUCACAGUUUUCCGAUAAUUUUCAAUGCAGUACAAUGCUUGUGUUUGUUUUAUUGAUCAAAAAAUAUGAGAUUUAAAUAUUUGUAAGUAAUGCCACGAGACACUAAUCUGAAAUAUAAUAUCUUCAUACA